CCUACGGGAGGCAGCAGUGAGGAAUAUUGGUCAAUGGACGAGAGUCUGAACCAGCCAAGUAGCGUGAAGGAUGACUGCCCUAUGGGUUGUAAACUUCUUUUAUAAAGGAAUAAAACGAGGCACGUGUGCCUUUUUGCAUGUACUUUAUGAAUAAGGAUCGGCUAACUCCGUGCCAGCAGCCGCGGUAAUACGGAGGAUCCGAGCGUUAUCCGGAUUUAUUGGGUUUAAAGGGAGCGUAGAUGGGUUGUUAAGUCAGUUGUGAAAGUUUGCGGCUCAACCGUAAAAUUGCAAUUGAUACUGGCAGUCUUGAGAUGUCGAGAGGUAUGCGGAAUGCACAGGGUAGCGGUGAAAUGCUUAGAUAUUGCGCAGAACUCCGAUUGCGAAGGCAGCAUACCGGCGGCGAUCUGACGCUGAGGCACGAAAGCGUGGGUAUCGAACAGGAUUAGAUACCCCAGUAGUC
rnacentral:rRNA from 1 species